rnacentral:miRNA from 1 species
AUUGUGUGUGAUAAAAUGAGGUGCCA